UACAGAGGUCUCAAGCGUUGUUCGGAUUCAUUGGGCGUAAAGGGUGCGUAGGCGGCGCGGUAAGUCGGGUGUGAAAUCUCGGAGCUUAACUCCGAAACUGCAUUCGAUACUGCGGUGCUUGAGGACUGGAGAGGAGACUGGAAUUUACGGUGUAGCAGUGAAAUGCGUAGAGAUCGUAAGGAAGACCAGUGGCGAAGGCGGGUCUCUGGACAGUUCCUGACACUGAGGCGCGAAAGCGUGGGGAGCAAACAGG
rnacentral:rRNA from 1 species